UACAGAGACUGCAAGCGUUAUUCGGAUUCACUGGGCGUAAAGGGUGCGCAGGUGGCCGAGUGUGUUAGGCGUGAAAGCCCGGGGCUUAACCGGGGAACUGCGUCUGAUACUGGGUGGCUUGAAUUCGGGAGAGGGAUGCGGAAUUCCAGGUGUAGCGGUGAAAUGCGUAGAUAUCUGGAGGAACACCGGUGGCGAAGGCGGCAUCCUGGACCGAGAUUGACGCUGAGGCGCGAAAGCCAGGGGAGCAAACGGG
rnacentral:rRNA from 1 species